UACGGAGGGUGCAAGCGUUGUUCGGAAUCAUUGGCGUAAAGCGCGCGCAGGCGGCUUUCUAAGUCCAGAGGUGAAAUGCCGGGGCUCAACCCCGCGCGUGCCUCGGAUACUGGGAGGCUGGAGACAGGUAGAGGCGGAGCGGAAUUCCGGGUGUAGCGGUGGAAUGCGUAGAGAUCCGGAAGAACACCGGAGGCGAAGGCGGCUCGCUGGGCCUGAUCUGACGCUGAGGCG
rnacentral:rRNA from 1 species